ensembl:lncRNA
CGCUGAUGGGACUGAAGCCCCCUCCGCCCUCCGUUUCUGCUGCUGUACACAGUGGAUGUGAGAGGAGGCCAAACAAAGCACUGGGAAAUAAAAGAGGAGCUCAACAGCGGAGCCCAUUAAGGGCUUUUAAUCACAGCGUGCCCGAGAAGACCUCCUCACUCCCACAUUAUGAAACGCUAAAUUGGAAUGAAGAAGGAGCUGACCGCCCUCCAUCCUGAGGCCCUCGCAUGUGCGGGAAGAGAGAAAAAAAAGAAGAAAAAAGCCACAUGAAAAGGAGAUUGCGACGGGUGCGGCAGGAUGCGGGGCGCACUGCCUGUGAGUGGACUGCAGACCCUGCUGGUCCUCCUCCUGCU